rnacentral:rRNA from 1 species
GACGAACGCUGGCGGCGUGCCUAAUACAUGCAAGUUGAGCGCUGAAGGUUGGUACUUGUACCAACUGGAUGAGCAGCGAACGGGUGAGUAACGCGUGGGGAAUCUGCCUUUGAGCGGGGGACAACAUUUGGAAACGAAUGCUAAUACCGCAUAAAAACUUUAAACACAAUUUUUAAGUUUGAAAGAUGCAAUUGCUUCACCCAAGGUUGAUCCCGCGUUGUAUUAGCUAGUUGGUGAGGUAAAGGCUCACCAAGGCGAUGAUACAUAGCCGACCUGAGAGGGUGAUCGGCCACAUUGGGACGGAGACACGGCCCAAACUCCUACGGGAGGCAGCAGUAGGGAAUCUUCGGCAAUGGACGAAAGUCUGACCGAGCAACGCCGCGUGAGUGAAGAAGGUUGUCGGAUCGUAAAACUCUGUUGGUAGAGAAGAACGUUGGUGAGAGUGGAAAGCUCAUCAAGUGACGGUAACUACCCAGAAAGGGACGGCUAACUACGUG